rnacentral:rRNA from 1 species
UACGUAGGGGGCAAGCGUUGUCCGGAAUCAUUGGGCGUAAAGAGCGUGUAGGCGGCCCGGUAAGUCCGCCGUGAAAGUCCAGGGCUCAACCCUGGGAUGCCGGUGGAUACUGUCGGAUAGAGUACGGAAGAGGCGAGUGGAAUUCCCGGUGUAGCGGUGAAAUGCGCAGAUAUCGGGAGGAACACCAGUAGCGAAGGCGGCUCGCUGGGCCAUUCCUGACGCUGAGACGCGAAAGCUAGGGGAGCGAACAGG